UGAUAUAUUUUUGGGCAGAUCAUCAUCUAGUUGUGACAGAUCAACACCUGACUACCCAGAAUCACCCGUUAUUACAAACCCGACUACAUCAAAUGAUUAUAAAAAAUGUUAACUCAUCCAUUAAGUAUUGUUUGGCUAGCAAGAAAAUUAUGGA
rfam:Populus trichocarpa isolate Nisqually-1 chromosome 1, whole genome shotgun sequence.